GGGUGACAGCCCCGUACACAAAAAUGCACAUGCUGUGAGCUCGAUGAGUAGGGCGGGACACGUGGUAUCCUGUCUGAAUAUGGGGGGACCAUCCUCCAAGGCUAAAUACUCCUGACUGACCGAUAGUGAACCAGUACCGUGAGGGAAAGGCGAAAAGAACCCCGGCGAGGGGAGUGAAAAAGAACCUGAAACCGUGUACGUACAAGCAGUGGGAGCACGCUUAGGCGUGUGACUGCGUACCUUUUGUAUAAUGGGUCAGCGACUUAUAUUCUGUAGCAAGGUUAACCGAAUAGGGGAGCCGAAGGGAAACCGAGUCUUAACUGGGCGUUAAGUUGCAGGGUAUAGACCCGAAACCCGGUGAUCUAGCCAUGGGCAGGUUGAAGGUUGGGUAACACUAACUGGAGGACCGAACCGACUAAUGUUGAAAAAUUAGCGGAUGACUUGUGGCUGGGGGUGAAAGGCCAAUCAAACCGGGAGAUAGCUGGUUCUCCCCGAAAGCUAUUUAGGUAGCGCCUCGUGAAUUCAUCUCCGGGGGUAGAGCACUGUUUCGGCAAGGGGGUCAUCCCGACUUACCAACCCGAUGCAAACUGCGAAUACCGGAGAAUGUUAUCACGGGAGACACACGGCGGGUGCUAACGUCCGUCGUGAAGAGGGAAACAACCCAGACCGCCAGCUAAGGUCCCAAAGUCAUGGUUAAGUGGGAAACGAUGUGGGAAGGCCCAGACAGCCAGGAUGUUGGCUUAGAAGCAGCCAUCAUUUAAAGAAAGCGUA
rnacentral:rRNA from 1 species